UUAAAGAACCUUAGUGAGCGCGCUCACAUACCCCACGUCCCCACAUUGUCAUUGGAUAAAUAAAAUAAGUGUAAGAAAAAAAAAUUGUAUCAGAAAAAAAAAUUGAAUCAUAAUUUCCUGUCAAUAUGCACAUCUACAUAGUAUGUCCUUAUUAUCUACACAGUUUCAUAAAAUUCUGUUGUGUGGUUUGAGAGGAGUUGCGAUGACAAACUGUUGCAGUAGUACAUUAAAGUAAAUAAGUUCAAAGGGGCGUAACUCCUAGAAAAAGAAUUGAAUCGUAAUUUCCUGUCGAUAUGCACAACUACAUAGUAUGUCCUUAUUAUCUAAAAAGGUUUCGUGAAAUUCUGUUGUGUGGUUUGAGAGGAGUUGCGAUGACAAGAAACAGGACUGACAGACUGACAGACUGACGGACGGACGGGUCAAAAACAUUAUACCCUCCGCAACUCGUUGUGUGGGGUA